CCCAAAACCUCUAAAGAUCUCUCUAGAACUCCAUUGAAGCUUGAAGAGAGAUUGAAGCUUGAAGGUUGAUUUUUCCACAAAAUUCUAUCAUUUUCAUGGAUUAAAUUCAGUAAGAUGUUCAUGGCCAUGGAUAAGGAUCUUUUGGUAUUAUAUUGGAUGAUUUAGCUAUGGAUUGAAGUGGUGAGAAUGGAUCGGUGGUGUGGAUGGAAGGUGAGAAGGAUAUUGAAGGAAAGAUUGGAUUCUAGUUUCCGCUCAAGUAAAGUUGAAGUAUGUCCUUACUUGACUCGAGGGCAUAAUCGUCUUUAGAUGUAUUUAUCUCAAAUUAUUGUAAUAAAUGUUAGAUUUCUAUAUUCGUAUUGUAUGGGCGGUGUCCCGUAUUCUUGAUUCUAAUAAUGACAUUUGUUGAUACUUAGAGUUUUCUAUGAUUUUAAUAUGAAAGACGUUUUAAGAAA